GUCUGGAGAUCCUGGCUAGAGAGCCUGGCUAGGCUGCUGAUCAACUGAACGCUGUCUCCGUGUCAUUCCUUCUUUGCCCACUCCGUCCACACCUUUGGGAACCCCUGGACCUGCUGGCGCCCGAAUAAUCGCUGGGAAGCGGGCCACAGUCUGAGCAGAGAUGGCAGCAGUGGCGGCGGCAGUGGGGGCUGGGGGCAGUCAGGGCUCCGGGCUGGGGCAGCGCCAUCUUGUGCUCUGGCCUGGUGAGGAGGCUGGGAAGGGGGACCCUGGGGGCGCAGAGGACUACAGGAAUGGCCUGGAGCCUGAGGAACUGGAGCCUGAGGAGUUGCUGCUGGAGUCCGAGCCAGAGCCUGAGCCUGAAGAGGAGCCGCCCUGGCCCCGUGCCCCACUGGGCACCCCAGGCCCUGGGCCUGGCCCGGGAGUCCCAGGCAGCCAGGAGGACGAGGAGGAGCAGGAGCCGGGACUGGUCCACAGGGGACGAUGCCAUUGAAGACCCGGAGCUGGAAGAGAUUAAAGGUCGAGUCAGGGAGAUGGAGGAAGAAGCUGAGAAGCUGAAAGAGCUACAGAACGAGGUAGAGAAGCAGAUGAAUAUGAGUCCACCUCCAGGCAAUGCUGGCCGAGUGAUCAUGUCGAUCGAAGAGAAGAUGGAGGCUGAUGCCCGUUCCAUCUAUGUUGGCAAUGUGGACUAUGGUGCAACAGCAGAAGAGCUGGAAGCACACUUUCAUGGCUGUGGUUCAGUCAACCGUGUUACCAUCCUCUGUGACAAAUUUAGUGGCCAUCCCAAAGGGUUUGCAUAUAUAGAGUUCUCAGACAAAGGGUCAGUGAGGACUUCCCUGGCCUUAGAUGAAUCCCUAUUUAGAGGAAGAAAAAUCAAGGUACUCCCAAAACGAACCAACAGACCAGGGAUCAGCACAACAGACCGGGGUUUGCCACGAGCCCGAUACCGUGCCCGGACCAGCAACUACAACAGCUCCGGCGCUCGAUUCUAUAGUGGUUUUAACAGCAGGCCCCGUGGUCGUGUCUACAGGGGCCGGGCUAGAGCAACUUCAUGGUAUUCCCCUUACUAAAAAAAAGUGUGGCCCUAACUGGUUUGGCUCUGUGGAUAGAGUGUC